CAGUGAGAGUCCCACACACGACUGGACUUCCAUAUCGAGCCACAGCUAUCAACGAAUUUGCUGGCAAGAUGUAGGCAGUUCAGUUGUGCGUUUAUGGAGACCA
rnacentral:pre_miRNA from 15 species